rnacentral:lncRNA from 1 species
GUAAGUGUGGGAGAGAUCCCCAGCUCAGCUAUGUAGAGGCGUUGUCUGUGGAGACAGCUGGGGGAAGGCUAGUGGUCACAGCACCUGUAUUAUUGUCAGGGAGCUGUGAGGCUAGGGAGCUGUGAGGCUAGGGAGCUGUGAGGCUAGGUAGUAUCAGGGAGCUGUGAGGCUAGGGAGCUGUGAGGCUAGGUAGUAUCAGGGAGCUGUGAGGCUAGGGAGCUGUGAGGCUAGGUAGUGUCAGGAAGCUGUGAGGCUAGGUAGUAUCAGGGAGCUGUGAGGCUAGGUAGUUUCAGGGAGCUGUGAGGCUAGGUAGGUUCAGGGAGCUGUGAGGCUAGGUAGUUUCAGGGAGCUGUGAGGCUAGGUAGUUUCAGGGAGCUGUGAGGCUAGGUAGUAUCAGGGAGCUGUGAGGCUAGGUAGUUUCAGUGAGCUGUGAGGCUAGGGAGCUGUGAGGCUAGGUAGUAUCAGGGAGCUGUGAGACAAGGGAGCUGUGAGGCUAGGUAGUGUCAGGGAGCUGUGAGGCUAGGUAGUAUCAGGGAGCUGUGAGGCUAGGUAGUAUCAGGGAGCUGUGAGGCUAGGGAGCUGUGAGGCUAGGUAGUUUCAGUGAGCUGUGAGGCUAGGGAGCUGUGAGGCUAGGUAGUAUCAGGGAGCUGUGAGGCUAGGGAGCUGUGAGGCUAGGUAGUGUCAGGGAGCUGUGAGGCUAGGUAGUAUCAGGGAGCUGUGAGGCUAGGUAGUAUCAGGGAGCUGUGAGGCUAGGGAGCUGUGAGGCUAGGUAGUAUCAGGGAGCUGUGAGGCUAGGUAGUUUCAGUGAGCUGUGAGGCUAGGUACUGUCAGGGAGCUGUGAGGCUAGGUAGUAUCAGGGAGCUGUGAGGCUAGGUAGUGUCAGUGAGCUGUGAGGCUAGGGAGCUGUGAGGCUAGGUAGUAUCAGGGAGUUGUGAGGCUAGGUAGUUUCAGUGAGCUGUGAGGCUAGGGAGCUGUGAGUCUAGGUAGUAUCAGGGAGCUGUGAGGCUAGGUAGUGUCAGGGAGCUGUGAGGCUAUGUAGUGUCAGGGAGCUGUGAGGCUAGGUAGUAUCAGGGAGAUGUUAGGCUAGGUAGUAUCAGGGAGCUGUGAGGCUAGGUAGUAUCAGGGAGCUGUGAGGCUAGGUAGUUUCAGUGAGCUGUGAGGCUAGGUAGUGUCAGGGAGCUGUGAGGCUACGUAGUAUCAGGGAGCUGUGAGGCUAGGUAGUGUCAGUGAGCUGUGAGGCUAGGUAGUUUCAGGGAGCUGUGAGGCUAGGUAGUUUCAGGGAGCUGUGAGGCUAGGUAGUUUCAGGGAGCUGUGAGGCUAGGUAGUUUCAGGGAGCUGUGAGGCUAGGUAGUUUCAGGGAGCUGGGAGGCUAUGUAGUUUCAGGGAGCUGUGAGGCUAGGUACUGUCAGGGAGCUGUGAGGCUAGGUAGUAUCAGGGAGCUGUGAGGCUGGGUAGUAUUAGGGAGCUGUGAGGCUAGGUAGUUUCAGGGAGCUGUGAGGCUAGGUAGUAUCAGGGAGCUGUGAGGCUAGGUAGUUUCAGGGAGCUGUGAGGCUAGGGAGCUGUGAGGCUAGGUAGUUUAGGGAGCUGUGAGGCUAGGUAGUUUCAGGGAGCUGUGAGGCUAGGUAGUUUCAGGGAGCUGUGAGGAAUGGUAGUGUCAGGGAGCUGUGAGGCUAGGUAGUUGCAGGGAGCUGUGAGGCUAGGUACUGUCAGGGAGCUGUGAGGCUAGGUAGUAUCAGGGAGCUGUGAGGCUAGGUAGUUUCAGGGAGCUGUGAGGCUAGGUAGUAUCAGGUAGAGACCAGUGUUACCAGGCUAGGUAGUAUCAGGUAGAGACCAGUGUUACCAGGCUAGGUAGUGAGACCAGUGUUACCAGGCUAGGUAGCUCCAUUGCUGUAGUGUCCUGUGCUCAGGAACUCGUCUUGUUUCUUCCAGCCAGGGAAAAUGGCAGUGGAGGAGGGAGCAGAGUUGCUAGGAGCAGACCUGAGCCCUAGGACCAUGCCUCAGGACUACCUGGUAUGAUGACUCCUUGCUGUCCCCAGUCCACCUGGCCGUGCUGCUGCUCCAGUUUCAACUGUUCUGCCUGCGGCUAUGGAACCCUGACCUGUUCACCGGACGUGCUUGUUGCACC